ACUCCUACGGGAGGCAGCAGUGGGGAAUAUUGCACAAUGGGCGCAAGCCUGAUGCAGCCAUGCCGCGUGUAUGAAGAAGGCCUUCGGGUUGUAAAGUACUUUCAGCAGUGAGGAAGGUGGGUAUGUUAAUAGCAUACUCAUUUGACGUUAGCUGCAGAAGAAGCACCGGCUAACUCCGUGCCAGCAGCCGCGGUAAUACGGAGGGUGCGAGCGUUAAUCGGAAUUACUGGGCGUAAAGCGCAUGCAGGUGGUUUGUUAAGUCAGAUGUGAAAGCCCGGGGCUCAACCUCGGAAUUGCAUUUGAAACUGGCAAACUAGAGUACUGUAGAGGGGGGUAGAAUUUCAGGUGUAGCGGUGAAAUGCGUAGAGAUCUGAAGGAAUACCGGUGGCGAAGGCGGCCCCCCUGGACAGAUACUGACACUCAGAUGCGAAAGCUGGGGGAGCAAACAGGAUUAGAUACCCUGAUAGGCUCU
rnacentral:rRNA from 1 species